AGGAUAAACGCUGGCGGCGUGCCUAACACAUGCAAGUCGAACGUCCUACGCAAGUAGGGAGUGGCGGACGGGUGAGUAACACGUGGGCAAUCUACCUUUCGGUGAGGAAUACCGGCGAGAAAUCGCCGACAAUACCGCAUACGCUUCGCAAGAAGCAAAGUCGCAAGACGCCGGAGGAGGAGCCUGCGCCCGAUUAGCUGGUUGGUGGAGUAAUGGUCUACCAAGGCGACGAUCGGUAGCUGGUCUGAGAGGAUGAUCAGCCACACUGGGAUUGAGAACGGCCCAGACUCCUACGGGGGGCAGCAGUUAGGAAUCUUGGACAAUGGGCGCAAGCCUGAUCCAGCCAUGCCGCGUGAGUGAUGAAGGCCUUCGGGUUGUAAAGCUCUUUAGUCCACGAAUAUAAUGACUGUAGUGGAAGAAUAAGCCCCGGCUAACUUCGUGCCAGCAGCCGC
rnacentral:rRNA from 1 species